rnacentral:rRNA from 1 species
UACGUAGGGUGCAAGCGUUAAUCGGAAUUACUGGGCGUAAAGCGUGCGCAGGCGGUUAUGUAAGUCAGUGGUGAAAUCUCCGUGCUUAACAUGGAAACUGCCAUUGAUACUAUGUUUCUUGAAUUUUCUGGAGGUCAGCGGAAUAUGUCAUGUAGCGGUGAAAUGCUUAGAUAUGACAUAGAACACCAAUUGCGAAGGCAGCUGACUACAGGGAUAUUGACACUGAGGCACGAAAGCGUGGGGGAUCAAACAGG